AACUUUGAUGUUGCUGUUUCCUGUAGAACUGAGUGAGUGUUGGCCUGAUUACUCCAGUCACAGUAAUCUAAUUAGUCCGGACACAGUGUGAUAGUAAUUAGCUAUUCAGGCAUUAUGAUUGAUGUAAGGAACUACUUUGAUGUUCCUUACACAAACUCACCUAACAAAGACCUUACAGCACGGGGGAUUUGUGGUGGUUGUAGACAAUAAGAAGGGAUCUUGGAGACAGAUGUUACACUCCAGGGGUCUGAGAGCAGGGGACAGGAUACCCGUCACCUAUUUCCUUUAUAUCAAAGAGGCUGAUCAAUAAGUUUGUUCCUCUCUAGGAGGAGCUUGAAGAUGUUUGAAGUCCUGCUUCUCCUGUGUCAUUAACUGUUUAACAACCCCCUCCCGAAUGGGUGGGGUUAGCCAAAUGUAUAAAUACCAACCACUGUCUUCCAUCUGGGUGCAUAUGACAAACUCAACUCUGUUGUAUGUACCAUGCUCGAGCAUUAAAUGUGUGACAAUACUGUAAGAGAAUUGUGUCUCGUUUCCUCCUUGCUAAUGGUGGGAUUGUAGAAAUUGCCACGACAAUUUGGGGGCUUCGUCCGGGAUGCCUAACUCAUUCACGCUUCAAACCAUUCUCAAGACCAAGUUUAAAUCUGCGCGCAGUCGGUGAGGGGAUUUUCUUUUUAUUAAUUAUUAUUGCCCAAGACCCGAAGUCUACCUCUCCUGAAGGGCAAGUCGUAAUCGACUCCCAGGGUGAGAAGAGGCUGCUUGUGAGAUUAUGGAAUGAAGAUUGUUCGAUACGGCAUCUGAAAUUUUUCUUUGAAGGAGGAUACAGUAUUGAAGAGCACGGGGUGACGCGUGAGGUAGAGUGACAUUACUUAGGGGUGAUGACCCAUUGAUAAAGGAAUUAAUAAGAAUAAUAUCAAUUAAUGUCAUCUAUGUGCUGGUAAGUGAGUGACUGCGAAUUUAAUUUAAAUGGGGAAACUUAAUAGCAAACCUUUUACUGAAGUGUGUGAUCUAAUGGGAUGUGCAACAAUUAUGUGUGAGAAACAUGGUGAUGACUCCUGUAAACAGCUUCUGGUGUGGAUAGAAAAGUUUGCAUUUUCUGAGAACGGUAGUUUUCGUAUAAUUCAAAAACAGGCGCUACAUGUUGAAUUGGGAAAAUAUGACCAAAUGAAGGGUAAAACUAAAUAAAUUAGAUAGCAUUGAUAAUGUGUGAUUCAGAAUUGUUAAAUGUAACAGAUAAGUAGUGAGCAGGGGUGCAAGAGGGGGGGAAGGGAAACUAAUCAAUGUCCUCAGCUCUCACAUUCACAGAAAGAACUGGAUCUCCUCCCUGCCUCAGCCGCUCAUCAGAGCCACCUGAACCAACAGCCUGCUAUCUCAUACCGAGACCUCCAAGGACAGUCUGCCUCAACAGGACGCACCACAUCAGGCGCAGCAUUCGCUCCAACUCCAUGUCACCAGAAUCAGGGUGAGGCUGCUGCAACCAUCGCGGCACAAGACAGUCUUGGGUCAGACAGACUCAGUCCCAUCUCAACAAGAACAAGAGCAGACGCAGAUGCAGUGAUGUAUGUCUACAGAGCCUGGACACCAGAGGAGAUGUGCUGAAUUUCCAGUGAACUGUCAGACAUAGCGUCACAAGGAGGGCCUGCAAUUUUCGAAGUACUGUCCCAAAUUGUAUAACAGUAAAGGCAGACUUUGAGAGAAACCAGAAGUCUCUUGCUCCACAGCAUGAAACUGAAAUGGCAAGGGGCCAAGUAUAAAGGGACUGGCCAGAGACAAACAUGCGCUAUGACUGGAGAACAGAUGCGGUUUCGCGGACAUGUGAAGAGACUCUAUGAGAACAACCUGCUGGAAAGGUGGUCAAAUCUAUUAAAGUCUUCAAAGAUAACCGCUGAAUGUUGCCACCAGAAGACCCUGACCACUGUGCGAGAGACUGUAACACGACAAGGCUGAAAAGGAGAUCCACUGGACUUAUUUUUCACGUAUCCCAGAGACUGCACAGAGGAUGAGGCAUGGCUUGAGGCAGAGGCGGAGGAGACUCCAGAUUCAGGUGAACGCACCCGCAACACCACACGUACAAACAUUACAAAGAAUUGUUUAACAUGGCAAAAAGCAAGUGGAUCUGAAGUUUUACCUGAAAUAUCUCUACAGGUAGCAGGCAAAAUAUCUAAUUUCUGGUUGAUUCUGGGGCCGCAAAACAACAUUAUCUUCCAAAAUUGGUUGGUAUAUAUAUUUUCACUGUUGGGGCAUCAGGCACCAAAAUUAAAUAAUCAUAUACCACACCACGGUCUGUUACCAAAACAGAUGGGGAUAUAAAAUACAUGUUGACUUGAAAAUUUGUUAGGAGGACACCAAAUGUGGUCUUAGGCUUGAUUUUUGCAUUGUAAACAGGAAGGGGUUUAAGUCACCAGAACAUGAGAUAUCCAUAGUGAAUAUGUACAACCAGAUCAUGGUUAGCCACUGUACCUACACCAAUGGGACCUGUUACCCACUGGGCCAAGGUAUAUAACCUCAGAUCUGCUUGAAAUAGCACACACACACACACACACUGCGUCAUGCAAGUAUCUGACUUACAUUGCACAGCAACAGUUAGUGAAGGAACAGACAUUAAAAAAAAAACUGCUUCCAGGAAGAUUAAAGAAAGCAAUUGUAUUAGUAGUGAUUGGGUGUAUUAUGAUAAUAGAUUGUAAGCAUUGACUGUUGUGUUGACCCCACAAUAGGCAAAUCUUUAAUAUACUUAACCCAUCACCAGAUAUAUUUCUAGCUAAAGCAAAUGAUGUGCAGUGGGAAAAUUUGGCACACAUGGUCACUGAGUGUUCACAAGAUUGUAAAUGGGAGGAUAGGGGAGAAGGAAUUCAAUAUUCUUCCUCAAUGCAAACACACAGAUGUCCAUUUUCAGAGCAUUUUUAUGGGGGAAAACAAAAAUGUGUAUUUAGAACAAACCGCUAAAUUUAAACAAAAGGUUUGCAGUUUAACAAUUGACUCUUCAGAGUUACAAAAAGUGCAACAAAAUGUAUGGACUAAUGAUAAGUAUGAUCUGGGAUUAUUUUAAACUGAACAUCUCAAUGUGACACCAAAGAGCACAUAACGUUAAUGUUCGAGCGCACAUCCACUCAAUCCAGAAGCAGCAGCAGGUAUAACACCAGAAUUUUAAAACUGGUAGAAAACCGGAGUCAUCAUUCCAUGUGCACACUCACCAGUAAGAAUGCCUAUUAAAUAAAUUAAAAUAAAACAAAAAAGAGAGGAUAAUAUAAAAGAUUCUCUGGUUCCACCAGAAAGCAUGUAGUUUUUGUUUAUUUUGAAUUGUUUAUUUUGCUAAUACAUUUUUCAGUGUCCCAGUUCAUCCACACUCUCGGUAUUGGUUUGCUUUCACAAUUCCGGAUAAAUCAUAUACGUUCAGACGUAUGUCCAAAGGUUUUGUGGAAUCCCGCGCAGUCAGGUCACGGGUUAUGCAAGUGAGUCUGGAGGACUUGGCAUUACCAGCGGUAAGCAAGUGAGUCUGGAGGACUUGGCAUUACCAGCGGUAAGCAAGUGAGUCUGGAGGACUUGGCAUUACCAGCGGUAAGCGCGCUGAUAUAAAUGUUGAUGAUUCGAUGAUUUGUUCACCAACAACACAGGCCUUUAACGUCGACACAGUAGCAUGCUAAAAUAUCUUGCAGACCAGGGCCACGAGGCCAGCCUGGCUAAGCUGCAAUUUGUCCAGAAAACUGUAACUUUCCUAGGACACAAAAUUUCUAGUAGCGGUAAAAACAUUGAGCUCAAACGAGUGGAAGCCAUCCUAAAGAUUCUAACACCGCGUUCUAAAAAACAAUUAAUGUAAUUUUUUUAGGGAUGAUGGACUACUGUAAACAGUGGAUCUGUGAUUAUGCAUCCCUGGAGGCUCCACUCCUGUAUGUUAUGCAUGGCCAAGGACUGACACCAACCGACAACCUGACGUGGAUGACAGACGCUGACACAGCAUUUACCUAACUACAACAGACUGACUUCGACACCUACACUGGGACCACCAGAUCAAAACAGAUCAUUUACACAGACUGUAAAUGAGGAACGGGGUUUCAUGGCAACAGUUUAGUGCAAACGACCAGUGGCGUAUUUAUCCUCCAAGAAAUUAGAUAGCUUGGCAUUGGGUCAGCCUCUCUGUCUAAGAGCAGAAUGAUAUCAAGAGGUCACAUUGUUAAUGCCAUAUUCUGGAUCGUCCAUUCUGCUAGAGCAGCAACCUAAUUCUAUUAACAGCCAUUUUACUCUGUAAAGUGUGAAGCUCACACUAAAGGUGAUUCUGUUUUUUCAACAGGUAAUGCUCAAGCAGAUACAGUAGCAGAGGAAGCGGCAACUAACCAACAUAUUGUCAUUGAUAUUCCUUUUUCCUUUCUCUCACAGAUUUAGCAGAAGCACAGAGCCAUGCUAACAACAUAGAGAAAGCAGAAUGUAAAUGUUUUAACAAUGUAUGUCAAUCUAAGGACGGCCGUCCAUGUGUGUUUAAAUGUUUAUUUGUUGUUUUGUUUGUUUCUGUUUUAUUGAAAAUUGUCUGGUUUCCAAAACUACUCUUUUACGUUUUAUUUCAAAAUGUUUACAUUUUCUGACAGGCAACACUACAGGAGGCCAGGACGUACAACCCCCUGGCCAACCGAUUGAUCGCUUGCAAAUGGAUUUCAUUGAACUAACACCAUGUGAAGGAAAGGAGCAUUGUCAUGUGGCUGUUGACAUAUAUUCCCUACAGGUAAAUGCAGCAAUCCCGCAACCAGCAGAGGGCCAGUUGCAUAAAUGGAAACCAGGAGACUGGGUGCUGAUAUAAGUCCGCCACUUGAGACGGAGGCCCAGGGAGAGAGUGUCGCUUCCCUCACAGACGAGGAACAAAGCAGAAGAAAGACGACAGCUCUCACUGAGGUGUAAAACCAUACCAACAACCAACUGCUGUUGCAGAUAAAGGAAGAAACGGCGAGAAAGAGACAGAAGGAACUAAAAAAAAAAAAAAAAAAAAAAAGAGAAGAAAGACCAGUACCAACUCAUCAUAAACCAACCCGACAGUAAAAUGGACAUCAUUUAUUUUAUCUUAUAAUUAUUUAACAGAGCGCACAGACCAAGUGAGUUCAAAACUGACUGUAGAAAAUAUCCAAAUUCAAGAUCAUUGUGCAUGCAAUGCUCCAACCACAUGUAGAAUUCCUAGCUCUGCCUGCUAGCUUCAAUGACACAGAAUGCUGGCCAGUAAGUAAUCCAGAAUAUACUUUUUGCGUCAUGGCAGGAAUGUGGAUAGCACCGUGGAAAACUCAAACCCAAAUAAUGUUCUUAGAAUUUAAAUCUGAAUUAUUGUUCAAAGCCUAUAUUUUCAUCUAAAUCCUCAGCCCGCAACUGCUCAGUCGCUUGGCAUCCUCUGCCAGUGCAUCCUAUGUCAAAUGUUUCUUCUGUGUACAGGAUCCUAGCCAAAUAAUUACAGCAAAUGCUUAUUUAAAUCAAACAAAAACUGUUUCUUUUAACAGACAGUCUGCACUGCCAGAGAAGGUGUAUUUAGUCUGUGGGGACCAGUGUUACAGCUGCUUACCAAGAGAAUCCCACAGUCGUUUGUUCAUGUUUUUGAUUGCCAUUUCUGUUAUCACUUGUAAGAUUGGUCUGAUUCGCAAACAAUGCACUUAGGCCAUUUUUACCGCUAUGCAAAUUGACCUCUACCCUAUCUCAGACUGGAUUCCACCAUAUGAUGACGUUGAUAAUAUAUCACACAACUGAAGUACCCUCAAUCGUCAACUUCGGACAGAGUGGGAUUUCCCCCACCUUAUAAAGUGUUAUUGAUCCAUAAUGAUCAAAAUGACGGAUUGUAAGGGAAAUGUAACAUGUGACCAUAAUAUAAUCAUGUUUAUGUAUACUUGGAUUGAUCAUCAUUGAAUCUCUUACAAAUGUAACUUUGAUGUUGCUGUUUCCUGUAGAACUGAGUGAGUGUUGGCCUGAUUACUCCAGUCACAGUAAUCUAAUUAGUCCGGACACAGUGUGAUAGUAAUUAGCUAUUCAGGCAUUAUGAUUGAUGUAAGGAACUACUUUGAUGUUCCUUACACAAACUCACCUAACAAAGACCUUACAGCACGGGGGAUUUGUGGUGGUUGUAGACAAUAAGAAGGGAUCUUGGAGACAGAUGUUACACUCCAGGGGUCUGAGAGCAGGGGACAGGAUACCCGUCACCUAUUUCCUUUAUAUCAAAGAGGCUGAUCAAUAAGUUUGUUCCUCUCUAGGAGGAGCUUGAAGAUGUUUGAAGUCCUGCUUCUCCUGUGUCAUUAACUGUUUAACAACCCCCUCCCGAAUGGGUGGGGUUAGCCAAAUGUAUAAAUACCAACCACUGUCUUCCAUCUGGGUGCAUAUGACAAACUCAACUCUGUUGUAUGUACCAUGCUCGAGCAUUAAAUGUGUGACAAUA